rnacentral:lncRNA from 1 species
CAAUUUAGGAUUUAACUUAAAUUCCCCUUCACCACGAGUUAAAGCACCUUAACCAGCUUCAAAAGUUGCCCCAAAUCACAGUUAUAAGGUGUGUACAUCCUGCUGUGAACAAGCACCCAAAACUGCAUUAUUACACUUAUGUAAUCACAUAAUUGAGGUUAAAAUCUCACUUAUUUAGAUUCCCUACUUGUAACUCUGCUUCUUGCUGAUUGAAAUUCAUUCAAACCAUUCACAAAGUCAAGAUAUUCAGCACAACGUGAAUCUCCAAGCUGCUGCAGCAUACACCAAAAACAGCUUCAUUCCUUCAUUAAUAAGCUUAUUGUAACAUCAACAUAAGGCAACCAAUUCACUAAUUACCUUUUCCAAGUUCCAAUUUCACUCUUCCCCUAGAUUAUGGUUGAAAGACCACAUCAAAAUCCUGCUUCUAUAGCUGAUAGAACUCUCCUGACAUAAG